ACUUUUUGUAAAGGGGGGGGAAAGCCACUUGUGAGGGGCUCCGUGUGCUGCCAGGAACCGCUAAAGUGUGGCUUGGGAUUUGCCCUGGCUAAUGAUGCGCAGACAUGCGUUGAGGCUGAGACAUCUAUGGUGCCACUUGGAGGGUGAUAAGGUGUG